rnacentral:tRNA from 1 species
UAGCUCAAUCGGUAGAGCGUGUGGCUCUUAGCACCCCCUAGCAACCACAAGGUUGGGGGUUCGACCCCCCC